AAGCAUCGCAGUUAACGAGUCUCGGGACGGGUUCGUUCAGUCCAAAUGAUGUCCCUCAGGGUGAACAAGAGCCGGAUUAUGCAUCUGCAUUUCGUGCUUCUAAAUCCAUAGUUUGUCUCUCAGGAUUCAGGGAAUUGACACCAGAAUACCUCCCAGCUAUCUCUCCAGUGUGUGCUAAUCUCACCUCUCUUAACUUGAGUUAUGCUAACAUAUCUCCUGACAUCCUCAAGCCCAUCAUACGCAACUGCCACAAUAUCCGAGUCUUCUGGGUAUAUAACCUUUUUGGUCUAUAUAACUACAUGGUUUUCUAACAUAUACUGUGAUCAUAUAGUUUGAUAACUGAGUAAUUUGAGUUACAUGCGUAUCUUGGAACUUUUACAAUGCAGGCUCUUGACUCGAUAUGCGAUGAAGGACUUCAGGCAGUGGCUGCAACAUGCAAGGAACUGCGUGAGCUUCGAGUUUUCCCUUCUGAUCCUCUUGAAGACAGCGAAAGCCCUGUCUCUGCAUUAGGCCUCCAAGCGAUUUCAGAGGGUUGUAGGAAACUAGAAUCUAUCCUCUACUUUUGCCAGCGGAUGACUAAUGGAGCUGUGAUAGCCAUGUCUGAGAACUGUCCCCAGCUUACCGUGUUCAGGCUUUGCAUAAUGGGUCGUUAUAGGCCUGACCACGUGACAGGAAAGCCAAUGGACGAUGGAUUUGGUGCCAUUGUUAAGAACUGCAAGAAGCUGACCCGACUUGCAGUAUCAGGAUUGCUCACAGAUGAAGCUUUUAGCAUUAUAGGAGAGCAUGGGAAAUUGAUCCGUACGUUAUCUGUAGCUUUCGCUGGGGACAGUGACAUGGCUCUGAGAUAUAUUCUCGAGGGUUGUCCUAAACUACAAAAGCUUGAAAUCAGGGACUGUCCCUUUGGAGAUGUUGGAUUGCGCUCUGGUAUGCAUCGGUAUCACAAUAUGAGGUUUGUUUGGAUGUCGUAUUGUAGGUUAACCAGGGGAGGCUGCAGGGAUAUUGCUCAUGCUCUGCCUAGUGUAGUGGCGGAAGUCUUUGGAUCAGAUGUUGAUGAUGACGACGACAAUGCGGAUUAUGUUGAGACAUUGUACAUGUAUCGGUCCCUUGAUGGCGCAAGGAAGGAUGCACCAAAGUUUGUAACAAUUUUAUGAAGAAAAACCUUGGUGUGUAUCUGAGGCUGAUUGCUGCAAAUGCAAAUGAUGCCAUUCGUGGAGAAAGCUACCAAAUCAGAAGAGACUGUGUUUGUAACUGUAAAUGCUUCAGAUACACAAAGCAUUUGAUGUGUUUUUUCCCCCUCUCUUUUGGGAAGAAAAGGUUAUGAAAUUGAAAGAAUGAAACGUCUAUUGUUGUUGAUUGUGUGGUAAUCAUGGUUUUUCCACAAACAUUACCAGAUUUAUUUACAGCCAUUUCACGAUUAUUUUCUAAAUAAUCAUUCUGUCAUAACAUUACAUUGAAUGCUGUUCUAUUUUGGCUUACAAUUGUUAUCUUCACCAUUCUUGUCUUCCUCCAUCACCAGAUGCUGCUCUAUGAUCUCGAUGAAUGCAGUAACACAAAGCCCAAAUCUGUUUCCUUUUACACUUUUGUCCAUGUAAACUCUGAAGCAGACAUUUUCGAUUUUAGAAGUGAAAAUAGAUUUUUGAGAAAACUUUUUUUGUAUGUAAAGUAGUCAUUUAAGUUUCAAAUCUUUCUAUUUAUGUAACAAUUAUGAAAAAUUUGUUGAAAAUAUAAAUGUAUAAACUUUGAUUAUAGUUCGAACUUUUAAAACAUAUAAUAUUAUUUCAUAUGAAACUUCUCCAGUCAUUGUAAAUUGAAUUACAAAAAAAAAAUCAAAUAUUUAUGUUUAUAAUUAUAAUAUGUAGAAACUUUUGUAAAAUAUAAAAUAAAUAGGGUUAAUUUAUGAAUUUUGUAAAUUAAAAGUGUUAAUAACAAAAUAAAAAAUAAUAUAUUUAGAAUAUUCAGUUUUAGAGAAAAAAAAUAGAGGUAAACAUUAGAUAUAAAUACAUCUCUAUUUUUAAAUCUUUAUUUUAGAAGAAAAAAUAAAUAUAUGCAUUGGAGAUAGUCUUAAAAAAAAACUUAUUGAAGCCAGUAAUCCAUUUUUUUGUAAAAACAGAAAUUCUCAGUACAGCCAAAUUUAAUGCAGUCACCAAAUCUUAUAUAUAAAGAGUGCUCAACUCUCUCCAGCUGAUUGACAUGUCAUCACUGGAGAGGUUGACACAUGUCCCAUACAAAUCUUAAUUAAUAAAAAAAAUAUUCUUGAAAAACCUAACGUCAAUCUCUUCCUCUUCCUUGCGAGUCUCCCCAAAAAGGUUUUGGUCGACGGCCAUGGACUUUUUCUCACACGAUGUUUGAUUGAUUUUCACGAAAAUCUUUUGAAGAGAUUUCGAUCUGCCUCAGAAAACUUCCCUGGAGCAACCGAAGCUCCUCCCGAUUUACUGCUUCUAAUCAGGGACCAAAAACGGAAAUCAUUUCCGUACAUUCUAUAAGCAUUUCUUCCCAUUUUUGCAGGUGAUUUUAAUUUCGUUUUUCUUUGAUUCAGCAUCUUUAUUUGAGUUGUGAAAAAUCGAAUCCAAAUUUUCGUCUCUUUUCCCUCUCUUCGAUUUUGUUUUCUCGACGGUCCCCAAACCAUAUACCACAACUUUUCGAGCUCCUUGUGUGAAAUAAAACUAAAGAUGAUAAUAAGAAACACGUCUGAUGGAUUAGCUUCUGUGAGGAUUAACACCAUUGAUUCUCUACCAGACGCAGCUGCACCAUCUCCUCCUAUGGUAAAUCAAUCUGAGUGGCGCUACGUGCCAACUGUAACAGAGGAAAUGAAAUUAACUUCAGAUGUCAUGGGAAGCCGUCUGGGAAAACCUCCAUCCUCCAUGGAAAGUUCACCUCCUUUCAUAUGGUCUGCUUUAAGUUCCACAAAGGUCCAAAUCCAGCCAUUGUCCACAACUGAUAUCCUGCUUCAGAUAUCGGUUUCUCGCCAGGUAUCUAUAAUCUCGCUUCGUAUAAACUUAACUGGGAGCUUUCUGCGCAUGAAAAUGCAUCGUCGUCAGGGACAUGCCAAGGCUAUCCUUAUUACAUUACUGUUCUUCAGUCUGAGUGAGAGCUUUAUAGCUUUAGAAAGCAUGAAAAUAUCUUAUGCUAUGAUGUUUCGUUGUCCUCUGUGUAUUCGUCUUUAUGGUUUACGUCUGAGUUUUCAAUUUUGAUUGUAUCCACUUGUUGUCAAGAAAUGGUUUUAGUAGGAGAAAGAUGAAUUUUUAUACAACGCCAAAAAUGGGAAAAAAAAGGAUGAAUCUUUAUUUGUUUGUGCCGUGGGAUACAAGAUUACAUACACUACUCAUGGCCAUUAUAAGUGUUUAUACCUUUUAACUAUAAUUUUAUUUACCUGAACCAUUUAUAAGUUAGUUAUAUUUCGUUUAUUUAGAUUAGAUUAUGUCUGAUUCUUGAGAGGAAUAUUUGAGAAAUUGGAAAUGCAGAAGAACUGGGGUUUGAAUCAUUUAUUGGGGAUUAAAAUGACGUCCUACGCCCAAUUAUUAAAAAGAAAAAUCAUGUAUAUAAAAUUUCAGUUGAGUUUUUAAGUUUCAACUAACAAUGUGUUCUCAAAAAAGUUUACUUACCCCAAAAAAAUAUUAUAUACCAGCUUGCAAGAAGGCGCAUAGUGAUAUCUGCAGAGUGAAGAUGGCAAUUGAAAACGCAAUAAAAAGAUCCAGUAUUUGAAGAGGAUUGUUUGCAAGUCAAUAUUCCAUUGGAGUGGCUUGUCAAUUUUUUCUUACGUCAUUGGUGCUAUAUUUUUUGUAUGACAUGUAUAAUAUGUAAAGUUCAUUUUGUUUCUGUUUUGGCUGCAGAAACUCUUUAAGAUGGAGUGAAGGAGUACUACUUAGAUAUGAAUGUCCUUGCGAGUAGUAGAAGCUAUACAUGAAGUUAUAUUAGACACUCAUGGGUCAAUGUCCUUCUGUUUCAGUCUCUCCCACUCAAAGCUAUCAUUAUCUUCUAUGAUCCAGAGUCAGACCUGUUCUAUCGUUAGUCUUAUAUGAGAAGGAGGUCCUUCUCGCUUGGUGGUAUGCAUCCUCUCUCUCUCUCUCUCUCUCUCUCUCUCUCUCUCUCUCUCUCUCUCUCUCGUCUGACUAAUAUGUGUGUUUUUGUUCAGUGAUUCACUUAAUCGAGAUCGUUGUGUCUCUUUGGCACUACCAACAAGACAAAACAGUUACAACAAUGUCUUCAUCCUGAUCAUUGGGAGGACUGGUCUCCUACUACAAUAAUCUAAUUGUUGGAUGUCAAUAGCUUUUGCCAAUUAUCAAUAAGACAUUGUUGGGCUAGAAAUCUGUUAAAUCUGUGUAUGAGGUAUGAUAAAUACAUUAUCAAAAAUGAAAAGUGAAAACUAUGAAGAAUAUUUUGUUGACAAUAAGUUCAAUGUACUGAUUAGUUUAACACGUUAACUGUCUGUCUCCAUCUGUUUUAUUAUAAAAUACGUAUACUUUGUAUCAUAAGUUAUUUCACUUAUUUCAUUCUAAUUAAAUAAUAACAAUAAAAAAAUUUCAGAUCUACAUCAACAAAAAUCUGUAUUAUUUAUCAAAAUUUUAAAACAACAAAAAAAGAAAAACAAAUAAUUAUUAUGAAAACUAUGCACACGUAGUGCGGGCACUCAUCUAGUUUUAAAGUAAAACUCUAUAGCAUAGUCUCAAACAGCCCUUUUCACACUAUUUUAUGUUUAUAGCAUGUACAAUAAGAAGAAGCAAAAUGAAACAGAAGAAGGAGACUCUAACCAUAUCCCAUAAGAAAUUUUUUUUUGUAACACUUCCUAGGCUUUUGGUCUCAAAAACACAACACUAGUAUUCCAUAUUGUUACAGAUUUUUACUGAUACGCACAUGCAUGUUUGCUCCCCAAACUCCGGCUAAAGAUCGACUUUGGUUAGGUAUAUAGAAGAGCCUUACCUACUUUCUGGUUUCUGCAAGUCCAAACACUCAAAAAUCACUAAUCUACUCGAACGGUAUAUAAUUUUUUUGAAGUGUUUUUUUUUUUAAGAUAAUAAAUUAGAUCAAAUGACCAGGUAUGACACACUUACAAAGGCCUGGCCUUGAAGGUAGAGGUAGGCGACCCCGCAGGCAUUUAAUUUAAAAGGACAUAUUUUUGUUAAAAUUUUCUUAUUAAGGAUAUAUGUUAUUUAUUUAUAUAAACCUAUGAUGUAUAAAAAUUUUUGAUAUUAUUAUUAUUAGUAAAACCUAUUAUCAGUUUUUAAAAAUAAAAUAUUAUUUUUUGGGUUUAAAUGUUUAUAUAAUCAUUAUAAUAAUUAAGUUCUUGUUGUUAAAAAUAGAAGAUUUUUGUUAAAAUACAGAAGUUGCUUCUCGAAUAUUGUUGACCAUUCCGGUAUCGGUUGCCACUGCUGAAAGAAGUUUUCUCGAAGUUGAAACUGAUAAAGAAUUAUUUGUUUUCUACUAUGUCACAAGAGCCAUUGAAUGUGUUAGUUUUGUUAUCAAUUAAGAUAGCGGUUGAAAAAUUCGAUUACAAAAGUUUAAUAAAUGAUUUUGAAUGGAAAAAUGCAAAAGUAACUAUAUUUCAGUAAUAAAUUAUAUGUUUUACUGGGUUUUUUUUCUUAUAAACUGUUUGUGGAGUUUGAAAUUUUACUUUUAUUUUUAUUUUUUUAAUAUUUUAAAAAAUAUGAAAUGGCAUAUUUAAAAAAUUAGAUUGGGACAUAUAAAUUGAUCAGUCCGGCGCUUUUUGGAAUAUCUGUGAAUAAUACAAGCUUUAAAUCACAUCUGAAAGGAUCAACAAUCAUGCUUUCAAAAGAAAAAAACAAAAGCGAAUGUAAAUAUAUGAAGCUCUACAAAACAGUUUAAACUAUUCUAAUUCUGGUCAGAUACCACUCAUACAAGCAAGUUCCAUGAUUACGACUAAAACUCUAUUAACGUUGCCCAUCACAGCUUAAAUCAGAAAUGUUUGCCCCUUCUAGACCAUAUGCAUAAAAUCUUGUUCUUGCUCUUUUCAUUCAUCAACUGGUGGUGAAUUAAAAAUAAAUUUAGAAAGCCACAAAAGUAUUAUAUCGUUUUUUAAAUGCUGAAAUAGUCACUCAAAUAAUGGAGGAGAAGUAAAGAGAGAGAGAGUCCAAACGCUUAAGGCCAGUCUCUCUCUUUUUUUUUUUUUUGAUAUAUGUUAUUAAAUCCGAAUCCGAGUGUACAGUAGGUGAUAAGAGGAGUAGAGCUUUUUGGAGAAUUGUUGUUUUGAUCAUUUUACUUUGAUGAAGGAAGAUCGCUCGGAAAUGGCCGCCAAGGAUGUUGAGCUGGAUCCACGCUCCGCCGCUAUUUCUGAACCACUUUCCUCCUCUUCUUCCUCUCCCGCUGCAUUCAACGCCGUCGUAUCUGCCGGAAACAAGUCCCGGAGCUGCAAAUCUUCUUUGCCGGUCACUCAGCCGCCGUGUCCAGGCCAUGUCCUCGAGAACGUCCUGGAGAACGUGCUCCAGUUCCUCACCUGUAGACGCGAUCGCAACGCCGUGUCGCUGGUGUGCAGAUCGUGGUAUCGGGUCGAGGCUCAGACCCGAUUCGAGGUCUUUAUCGGCAACUGUUACUCGCUCUCUCCGUCUCGGCUCACUCGCCGGUUCAAGGGCGUUAGGUCACUGUUGCUCAAAGGGAAACCUAGGUUUGCUGAUUUCAAUCUCAUGCCUCCCGAUUGGGGAGCUCAAUUCGCGCCUUGGGUUGCUGCAACAGCCAUGGCUUACCCUUGGCUCGAGAAGGUCAAUUUGAAGCGGAUGUUUGUCACGGAUGAUGAUUUAGCGCUUCUCGCUGAGUCCUUUCCUGGGUUCAAGGAGCUUAUAUUGCGCUGUUGUGAAGGUUUUGGGACCAGUGGUAUUGCUCUUUUUGCUAACAAGUGCAGGUAAUUUCAUCGCUUUCUCUAUGGAGUUUCUAUUCUAUCUUGUCUUGAAUUCUAGAAAAGUGAGUUUUUUUGUUAUUGUCAAGAGCUUAUGAAAUGCGAAUUUGUUGUUGCAGACAGCUAAAAGUCCUUGAUCUGAUCGAGUCAGAAGUCACCGAUGACGAGGUGGAUUGGAUUUCUUGUUUUCCCGAGGGUGAAACGCAUCUUGAGUCUUUAUCCUUUGAAUGUGUAGAAUCCCCUAUCAAUUUCAAGGCGUUGGAGGGGCUUGUGCUUAGGUCACCGUUCUUGAAGAAGCUUAGAACGAGCAGGUUUGUUUCCCUUGAAGAGCUGCAUCGACUCAUGGUUCAAGCAUCGCAGUUAACGAGUCUCGGGACGGGUUCGUUCAGUCCAAAUGAUGUCCCUCAGGGUGAACAAGAGCCGGAUUAUGCAUCUGCAUUUCGUGCUUCUAAAUCCAUAGUUUGUCUCUCAGGAUUCAGGGAAUUGACACCAGAAUACCUCCCAGCUAUCUCUCCAGUGUGUGCUAAUCUCACCUCUCUUAACUUGAGUUAUGCUAACAUAUCUCCUGACAUCCUCAAGCCCAUCAUACGCAACUGCCACAAUAUCCGAGUCUUCUGGGUAUAUAACCUUUUUGGUCUAUAUAACUACAUGGUUUUCUAACAUAUACUGUGAUCAUAUAGUUUGAUAACUGAGUAAUUUGAGUUACAUGCGUAUCUUGGAACUUUUACAAUGCAGGC
rnacentral:lncRNA from 1 species